GGCGCACGGGUGCGUAACGCGUGGGAAUCUGCCCUUGGGUUCGGAAUAACGUCGGGAAACUGACGCUAAUACCGGAUGAUGACGUAAGUCCAAAGAUUUAUCGCCCAGGGAUGAGCCCGCGUAGGAUUAGCUAGUUGGUGGGGUAAAGGCCUACCAAGGCGACGAUCCUUAGCUGGUCUGAGAGGAUGAUCAGCCACACUGGGACUGAGACACGGCCCAGACUCCUACGGGAGGCAGCAGUAGGGAAUAUUGGACAAUGGGCGCAAGCCUGAUCCAGCAAUGCCGCGUGAGUGAUGAAGGCCUUAGGGUUGUAAAGCUCUUUUACCAGAGAUGAUAAUGACAGUAUCUGGGGAAUAAGCCCCGGCUAACUCCGUGCCAGCAGCCGCGGUAAUACGGAGGGGGCUAGCGUUGUUCGGAAUUACUGGGCGUAAAGCGCACGUAGGCGGCGAUUUAAGUCAGAGGUGAAAGCCCGGGGCUCAACCCCGGAACUGCCUUUGAGACUGGAUUGCUUGAAUCCGGGAGAGGUGAGUGGAAUUCCGAGUGUAGAGGUGAAAUUCGUAGAUAUUCGGAAAGAACACCAGUGGCGAAGGCGGCUCACUGGACCGGCAUUGACGCUGAAGGUGCGAAAGCGUGCGGAGCAAAACAGGAUUAGAUACCCUUGGUAGUCCACGCCCGUAAAACAAUGAUAACUAGCUGCCGGGUGCACAUGGAUGUUUUCGGUGGCGCAGCUAACGCAUUAAAGUUAUUCCGCCCUGGGGGAGUACGGGUCGCAAGGAUUAAAAACUCAAAGGGAAUUGACGGGGGGCCCUGGCACAGCCGGUGGGAGCAUGGUGGUUUUAAUUC
rnacentral:rRNA from 1 species